UUUUCAGCAAAUAUUUGUAUAACACCUUCUAAGUUGAAGGCACUGUUCUAGGAAGUAGGAAAAGAACAAAGUUCUUGCCCUUACAUACUUUACGUUCUAGUGGGGGAGAGAGAUAAAUAAAUAAGUAAAUAUAUGGAGUGUCACGUGGUGCUAAAUUCAUUGGAAAAUAACACAACAUGAUGAAGAGGUGAGGGAAUGUGGUAGGUGAUCAGGGACACCUGUUUUAUAGACAGACUUAUUGGUGUCCACUGUACCCAUGGUUUAAACAGGACUGGCUACCUCAUCUGCAGAUAUUUGAUUGAUGUAGAAGGCAUGUGGCCAGAUGAUGCAAUUGAAUACUGGUGUUUUAUCUUUACAAGUUCUGCGUCGUUCCAUAAGAAAGCUGCUUUUCUUCUGGUUUCAUAAGAGAUGGUGAACAAUGGUAAAAUAUCCAGUUUACCUAAAUUUCUAGAGUACACUUCAGGGAGCAAAUGAUGGG